GGCCUCGUAGCUCAGCUGGUAGAGCAUGCACGUACAAAGUGUAGGCGGUGUCCAUGCGUGGGUUCGAACCCCACCGGGGCUA
rfam:Echinostoma caproni strain Egypt genome assembly, scaffold: ECPE_scaffold0014888